AUGCCACGCGUCGGGCGUGACGGCGCAACAGUGGGCCGACCUCUUUGUCUGUGGACUUCCGGAUCACAUCCGCGUGGACGUGGAGCUUCGGAGACCCCAGGAUAUCCAGACGGCCAUGUACUACGCCCGCGGUGGUCGUCCAACAGGAGUCACCGUCCCGGGCCACCGGGUCGCUACCCUGGCCAGAUCCGCUCAGGGUCGGCCUGCACAGGCUUCCGCGGCACCCCUCGCUGCGACUGCGGCGCGCCCGUUCCGCCGGCUCACCUCGGCCGAGCUACUCGAGCGUCACCGCCAAGGGUUGCGCUUCAACUGCGACGAGCCCUACACGCCUGGCCAUGCCUGCCCACGACUCUUCUACCUGGAGGUUGCAGACUACAUUCCGGAGGACGCCGUCGCCGCCGACCUUGCCGCCCCAGCUGUCGCGAAGGUGUUUGA
rnacentral:rRNA from 1 species